AAAUAUAAAAGUAUUCUUAUAUUGUAGUAACAGGAAUAUAUUCAACUCCUGCAAUAUACUUUACAUAAUUGUUACAAUCAUUAUUUUUUUUCUAUUGUAACUCUUGAUUAGAUCUUAGAUCCAUUCUAGGUAUCUAUGCCUUACUUCAUUUUUUUUUUCUUUCUAAUUACAUCAAACGAUUCCCUCGGUCCAUUAGCUAGAUCUUUGUCUCCACAUUUAUAAAAAAAUUGCAUCCUAUCUCGUGUCCAAUAUACUCUUCAUUGUUUAGUAAUCAACUCACAAAUUUUU
rnacentral:lncRNA from 1 species